AAUCAAUGGAAUGGAGGUCUCUGUUGUUGAUACUUUUGGAAAGGAUAAUCAUACUACGACCAAAAAGGCUUGAUCGUUCUCUAUUGCUAGUGCUUUUUGGAAAGGAUAAUCAUACUACGAGAUGAUUAUUAGUUUGGUGUUUAUGUUUUUAUAGAAAUGUUGUUAGAAAUUAUGUGGGAUAAAAUUGUUAUUGUCCUUUUUUUUUCACACCACUUGAUGGAUGAUCUGUUGCUUUUGUAUGUAUCUGUUAACUGCUUGUAUAUGCAUCCGAUAUCACGUUGAAUGGUCUCAAUGAAUGGAUACCUACAGUUGGCAGCUUUAGUUCAUUGCUAUUGUUGGUCUGCAAUCAAAGCUGAAAGU
rnacentral:lncRNA from 1 species